rnacentral:rRNA from 1 species
AUUGAACGCUGGCGGCAGGCCUAACACAUGCAAGUCGAACGAGUGGCGGACGGGUGAGAAAUGUCUGGGAAACUGCCUGCUGGAGGGGGAUAACUACUGGAAACGGUAGCUAAUACCGCAUACCAUCGGAUGUGCCAAGAUGGGAUUAGCUAGUAGGUGGGGUAAAGGCUCACCUAGUCGACGAUCCCUAGCUGGUAUGAGAGGAUGACCAGCCACACUGGAACUGAGACACGGUCCAGACUCCUACGGGAGGCAGCAGUGGGGAAUAUUGCACAAUGGGCGCAAGCCUGAUGCAUCCAUGCCGCGUGUAUGAAGAAGGCCUUCGGGUUGUAAAGUACUUUAAGCUGGGAGGCGUUACCCGCAGAAUAAGCACCGGCUAACUCCGUGCCAGCCGCCGCGGUAAUUC